AUGCACUGCAAGACCCAGCUGGAGGCCAAGGCAGCGCUGCAACAGGCUGUCAGAUGAAGAAGCAGGGGAAGAGGGAAAAGGCCCUCAAGCUGCUGGUGCAUGCGCUCAACAUGAACCCGGACUUUGUGGAAGCUCUAACAGAGCUGGGGACCAUUCUGGAGGAGGAGAAGGAUGUUGUUCAAGCAGACCACCUAUAUACCAAGGCCCUGGCCAUCUCACCAUGCAACGAGAAGGCCCUGGCCAUCUCACCAUGCAACGAGAGGGCCCUGGUUAGCAGUGACCGCACACUCCCCCUGGUGGAGGAGAUCGACCAACGCCACUUUGGGGUUAUUGACAGUAAAGUAAGCAGUAUGAUGUCCAUCCCCAAGGGUAACUCUGCCCUUAGACGUGUCAUGGAGGAAACCUACUAUUACCACAUCUACCACACCGUGGCUAUAGAGGGCAACACACUCACUCUGUCUGAGAUCCGCCACAUCAUUGAGACUCGCUACGCCGUGCCCGGCAAGAGCCUCCAAGAGCAGAACGAGGUCAUUGGUGUGGACGCAGCCAUGAAGUACAUUAACACCACGCUGCUGUCCCUCACUGUCAAUGACAUCCUGGAGAUCCACCGGCGUGUGCUGGGCUACGCAGACCCUGUAGAGGGUGGGCGGCUGCGUACCAGCCAGGUUUUUGUAGGCCACCACAUCUCACCCCACCCACAUGAGCUGGUGCAGUGGCUCAACCCAGAGGAGGCCCUGCAGCUGCACCCUUUGGAAUCCGCAGCGCUCACCCAUUACAAGCUGGUGUAUGUGCACCCCUUUGUGGACGGAAACGGGUGCACGUCACGGCUGCUAAUGAACCUGGUGCUCAACCAGGCACGCUACCCACCCAUCAUUGUACGCAAAUUUCAGAGUACUCCACUGCUCUGGACACAGCCAACAAGGGUGACGUCCGCUUCAUAGCCAAAUGCACAGAGAUCAUCCUGGAUACCCUGCUAAUCGCCACCACUGAGCACAGUGUGGGGCUGCCUGGCUCCAGCCACCACCAGGCCUGUCCCGACUGCAAACAAACCACCCCUGUCCACAACAGUGAGGGGACGGGAGUGAGUGGCGCAUGACUGUUUGGCUUUGUAUUUCUCUUUAUUUAGAUUUGCCAGUUUGGGGUUAAUCUUGCUCUAAGUGUAAAGAUAUGUCAGUUGGUUUAUGGAUAAAGAGCAGCUCUGUGUCAAUGAUAGCAUGACCUUGAACGUUUUUACUAGGAGAAUGCAUCUUUACAGAAAUUAACAUUCCCAUAUCUCAUGGUUUGUUUCCUCAUAUCAGGUAGAGGUGCAGCCGUUUGAACUAAUUAUUACGUAUGUGUUGUGAAUAGAAAACAUGUUUUCAGCUGCAGAUUGUUGUCCGUAUAGGGAUAAUAAGGGUCACAUGUUUCUAACAUUGAAUAAACAUAAGGGUCAUGAACUUGUUGGUGCACAGACACAAAUGGACCUGUUUCAUACUCUUGCCAAAGCUACUCAUUGUUUUUAGUGUCGGUUCUAAAGGACAUUUAGGCCUAUAAUUCUGAAUUUGCAUUCUAUUCAUCUGAGUUAUUUUGAUGAGUGAAUGCGUUACAUUAACUGAAGGUGUUACAGUAUGUGUACAUGUCUGAGAUGAUUGAGUUGUGAUUCUGCUUUGAAUUGUCCCCCUUAAGAAAUACAGUGCACAGUAGAUCACUUGCGGUGUGUUGAUUCAACAUGUAGAAUGUUCUGUGGUCAGGCGAUAGGCAGGCCAACAGUCGUGUUAUUCUGUCUUGUCAUUUUGAGAACAUGGUUUGCAUCAAUGUAAUAUACAGUACUAUACUAUACAGUAACUCAUCUGGGUCAUACUGUCUGCUAUUUCACUGAAGAACUUUUAUGUAUUUAAUCGUUUAUUUUAAUGUAAUUAGGGCCUUUUCGGCCCUAAAUGUGAUAUACUUAGUUUCAAAACUCAACAUCUAUUUGAAUUGCUUUAAUAAACAACUUAAGGUCAGAAAUGGCAACAAAACCACAAGAUGACAUUUUUACAAGACUCAUAUCACAAGUGUAAAACUUGGAACAAGCGGUAAAUAAAAGAAUCACUGAACAAAAGUAAAAACAAGCUCAAUCUCACAGGGUUGCGCUGACACUUUUGUAACUAAAAAAGAAGCUAUUUCUAGUUUACAUUUGCGUUCUCGUAAUAGAAAAAUGUGAACACCAUGACAAUGAUUUCAAAAUUACAACACAAUGUACACCAUAUAUUGGACAAACAGAAAGCAACUUCUAAAGCUCAAAUGUUUGUAGUCUCUAACUAGAUUAGGCCACUGUGGUGAUAGAACGUCGUUAGAUAUAGCUAAUAAUUCUCAAACAUACAAAUGUAUUACAAAACUAUGGCCAAUCACUUGGAGUGUGUGAAUUCUGAACACACAUGACGUUCCCCACUCAUCCAAACAGGAUUACUGGUCGACAGAAUUGUUAAUGACCACAUUCAUUUGAAAGGCAAAUGAGAUUUAGGAAUUUAGUUCAAACCUUUACAUUCCCACGAUGUAAUUUAUUGAACUUAUCAAAUCUGCCUACAAUAUGUGGACAUGGAGGGCUCUUGCAAUCAAAACCGCUGCAUAGAUUCUUUCUCCCAACAAUGGUUGAUUCACUUGUGGACAGGACUGGUUAGAAUGAGAUGACAAAAGCCAAGGCCCUUUAGUGCUUCUCCAAACUGUCAGUUCAUUCCCUACCCAUCUCAUAGUUUAUUCAAUACCCUAGACAGGAAUGAGCAAAUUGGAAACAAUCUCAGGAAUAAAUGAGAAUACAUUUUUUAGUAUUCCCUUCUAACCUUUCUAAACAGCCUAAACAUGAUGGGUUUAAUGAGUCAGACAACCUUACAUUACAGUGCCACCAAAGAAGUCCCAGUAAGGGAAAAAUAAAGGAUUAUGUUUUUAUGGGCAAAGACUUAAAAUAGUCUAAAUGUGAGCACAGAACUGGUGAGGAAUGAUUUCUGGCCAGUGCAUAUGCAAAUUAAUUAUUUGUACAACUGCAGUUUUAGGUAAUAUUCUGUAAAGCGAAGCAUUAGUCAUUCACUGCAUGGGAACAAAUAUUGUGAUUCAAACGAUCUGUUUGGAUAGGGCAAAAAAAAAAAAAAGUGGUAUGUUGACACCUUAAGGAAACUUAACACACAAAAAAAAUUGUUCAUUGUUGUAAUACAUAUUUACACAUACAUCAAUGUCAAGCUCUUGCAUAUACCUUUAAAACAUGAGU